GAGUUUGAUCGUGGCUCAGGAUGAACGCUGGCGGCGUGCCUAAUACAUGCAAGUCGAGCGAACGGACGAGAAGCUUGCUUCUCUGAUGUUAGCGGCGGACGGGUGAGUAACACGUGGGUAACCUACCUAUAAGACUGGGAUAACUCCGGGAAACCGGGGCUAAUACCGGAUAACACAUGAAACCGCAUGGUUUCAUGAUGAAAGACGGUCUUGCUGUCACUUAUAGAUGGAUCCGCGCUGCAUUAGCUAGUUGGUAAGGUAACGGCUUACCAAGGCAACGAUGCAUAGCCGACCUGAGAGGGUGAUUGGCCACACUGGAACUGAGACACGGUCCAGACUCCUACGGGAGGCAGCAGUAGGGAAUCUUCCGCAAUGGGCGAAAGCCUGACGGAGCAACGCCGCGUGAGUGAUGAAGGUCUUCGGAUCGUAAAACUCUGUUAUUAGGGAAGAACAUAUGUGUAAGUAACUGUGCACAUCUUGACGGUACCUAAAUCAGAAAAGCCACGGCUAA
rnacentral:rRNA from 1 species